rnacentral:rRNA from 1 species
AUUGAACGCUGGCGGCAGGCCUAACACAUGCAAGUCGAACGAGUGGCGGACGGGUGAGUAAUGUCUGGGCAACUGCCUGAUGGAGGGGGAUAACUACUGGAAACGGUAGCUAAUACCGCAUACCAUAAGAUGUGCCCAGAUGGGAGUAGCUGGUUGGUGGGGUAACGGCUCACCAAGGCGACGAUCCCUAGCGGGUCUGAGGGGAUGACCACCCCACCUGGAACUGUGAGACGGUCCGGACUCCUACGGGAGGCAGCAGUGGGGAAUAUGGGCCAUGGGGGACAAGCCUGAUGCAGCCAGGCCUGGUGUAUGGAGAAGGCCUUCGGGUUGUAAAGUACUUUCAUCGGGGAGACGUUACCCGCAGAAGAAGCACCGGCUAACUCCGUGCCAGCAGCCGCGGUAAUAC